AUUGAACGCUGGCGGCAGGCCUAACACAUGCAAGUCGAGCGGAUGAAGGGAGCUUGCUCCUGGAUUCAGCGGCGGACGGGUGAGUAAUGCCUAAGAAUCUGCCUGGUAGUGUGGGAUAACGUCCGGAAACGGGCGCUAAUACCGCAUACGUCCUGAGGGAGAAAGUGGGGGAUCUUCGGACCUCACGCUAUCAGAUGAGCCUAGGUCGGAUUAGCUAGUUGGUGGGGUAAAGGCCUACCAAGGCGACGAUCCGUAACUGGUCUGAGAGGAUGAUCAGUCACACUGGAACUGAGACACGGUCCAGACUCCUACGGGAGGCAGCAGUGGGGAAUAUUGGACAAUGGGCGAAAGCCUGAUCCAGCCAUGCCGCGUGUGUGAAGAAGGUCUUCGGAUUGUAAAGCACUUUAAGUUGGGAGGAAGGGCAGUAAGUUAAUACCUUGCUGUUUUGACGUUACCAACAGAAUAAGCACCGGCUAACUUCGUG
rnacentral:rRNA from 1 species